rnacentral:rRNA from 1 species
AUUAAACGCUGGCGGCAUGCCUUACACAUGCAAGUCGAACGGCAGCACGGGGGCAACCCUGGUGGCGAGUGGCGGACGGGUGAGUAAAGCAUCGGAACGUAUCCUGGAGUGGGGGAUAACGUAGCGAAAGUUACGCUAAUACCGCAUAUUCUGUGAGCAGGAAAGCAGGGGAUCGCAAGACCUUGCGCUCUGGGAGCGGCCGAUGUCGGAUUAGCUAGUUGGUGGGGUAAAGCCUACCAAGGCGACGAUCCGUAGCGGGUCUGAGAGGAUGAUCCGCCACACUGGGACUGAGACACGGCCCAGACUCCUACGGGAGGCAGCAGUGGGGAAUUUUGGACAAUGGGCGGAAGCCUGAUCCAGCCAUGCCGCGUGAGUGAAGAAGGCCUUCGGGUUGUAAAGGACUCUUUCGGCGGGGGAAGGAAAUACUUCUGGGUUAA